GCGCCCGUAGCUCAGGGGAGAGAGCGGCUGCCUUCUAAGCAGCGGGUCGGGGGUUCGAAUCCCUCCGGGCGCGCCA
rnacentral:tRNA from 1 species